UUGUUUAUUUUUACAAAAAAAAAGGUCAGUUAAUUUAUGGUAUUAAUUAUUUUUUUAAGGAGAAGUGUAGACUAUAGUUCUGGUCAAGACUACUAAAAAUACUUGAGUUUAGUUCUGAUUUGUCUGCAUUGAUAAAUGUGUAAAAUACUUGGCCCCAGACCAGCUAAAGCAAAUUAUAAACAUUUGCUUUAAAAACAGAACAAAACAGAUAGUUUAUAGAAUAUCCUGCCCCACUCCUCCACUAAGAUACCCACCUCCCCAGGCCUCCAGCCACCAGAAGUUACAUCAGGCAGCAAAAUCAGGAACAAAAAAAAAGGGUCGUUCUCAUUUUUCAGGCAGUUCAAUUCAUCUUGAAGCUGAUGCACUGAAAGCUGUUUCAUUUGAUGGAUUUCCAAAGAGCAAACUGAAGGAGCUGAGACAGAGCUGUACACCUAACAAAGGAGAUGGUACCUUUACAAGAGCUGUGGAUGCUUCAUCCUUGGAAAUGUUCAAGGCCAGGUUGGACGGGGGUUGGAGCAACCUGGAAGGUGUCUCUGCCCAUGGCAAGGAGCUGGAACUAGGUGAUCUUUAAUGUCUCUUCCAACCCAAAGCACUCUAUGAUUCUAUGAAUAAAUAACAGUGACAAAAACA